UACGUAGGGGGCAAGCGUUGUCCGGAAUCAUUGGGCGUAAAGAGCGUGUAGGCGGCCCGAUAAGUCCGCUGUGAAAGUCCAGGGCUCAACCCUGGAAUGCCAGUGGAAACUGUCGGGCUGGAGUCCGGAAGAGGCGAGUGGAAUUCCUGGUGUAGCGGUGAAAUGCGCAGAUAUCAGGAGGAAUACCUGUGGUGUAGACGGCUCUCUGGACCGCAACUGACGCUGAGACACGAAAGCGUGGGUAGCAAACAGG
rnacentral:rRNA from 1 species